rnacentral:rRNA from 1 species
CUACGGGGCGCACCAGUGAGGAAUAUUGGUCAAUGGGCGCAAGCCUGAACCAGCCAUCCCGCGUGGAGGAAGACGGCCCUAUGGGUUGUAAACUCCUUUUAUAAGGGAAGAAUAUACGUAUCGUGAUAUGUUUUGACGGUACCUUAUGAAUAAGCAUCGGCUAACUCCGUGCCAGCAGCCGCGGUAAUACGGAGGAUGCAAGCGUUAUCCGGAUUCAUUGGGUUUAAAGGGUGCGCAGGCGGACCAAUAAGUCAGUGGUGAAAUCUUACGGCUCAACCGUGAAACUGCCAUUGAUACUGUUAGUCUUGAGUACGGCUGAGGUAGGCGGAAUGUGUAAUGUAGCGGUGAAAUGCUUAGAUAUUACACAGAACACCAAUUGCGUAGGCAGCUUACUAGACCGUAACUGACGCUGAGGCACGAAAGCGUGGGUAGCGAACAGGAUUAGAUACCCCCGUAGUC